rnacentral:rRNA from 1 species
GACGAACGCUGGCGGCGUGCUUAACACAUGCAAGUCGAACGAUGAACCCGGAGCUUGCUCUGGGGGAUUAGUGGCGAACGGGUGAGUAACACGUGAGUAACCUGCCCUGGACUCUGGGAUAAGCGUUGGAAACGACGUCUAAUACCGGAUAGGACCUUGGAUCGCAUGAUCUGGGGUGGAAAGUUUUUUCGGUCUGGGAUGGACUCGCGGCCUAUCAGCUUGUUGGUGAGGUAAUGGCUCACCAAGGCGUCGACGGGUAGCCGGCCUGAGAGGGUGACCGGCCACAUUGGGACUGAGACACGGCCCAGACUCCUACGGGAGGCAGCAGUGGGGAAUAUUGCACAAUGGGCGAAAGCCUGAUGCAGCAACGCCGCGUGCGGGAUGACGGCCUUCGGGUUGUAAACCGCUUUUAGUAGGGAAGAAGGGCUUCGGCUUGACGGUACCUGCAGAAAAAGGACCGGCUAACUACGUG